rnacentral:rRNA from 1 species
UACAGAGACCUCAAGCGUUAUCCGGAAUCAUUGGGCGUAAAGCGUACCGAUAGGUGGUCAUGAUAGUUUUGGGUAAAAGCCAGAAGCUCAACUUCUGCGUUUGCUCAAAAUACUUCACGACUAGAGGGGCAAAGAGGUGCUUGGAACGAAUGGUGUAGUAGUGAAAUGCGUUGAUAUCAUUCGGAACACCGAAAGCGAAGGCAGAGCACUGGGUGCCACCUGACACUGCUAGGACGAGAGCGUGGGUAGCGAAUGGG